rnacentral:rRNA from 1 species
CCUACGGGUGGCAGCAGUGGGGGAUAUUGCACAAUGGGGGAAACCCUGAUGCAGCGACGCCGCGUGAGCGAAGAAGUAUUUCGGUAUGGAAAGCCCUAUCAGCAGGGAAGAAGAAAUGACGGUACCUGAGUAAGAAGCACCGGCUAAAUACGUGCCAGCAGCCUCGGUAAAACGUAUGGUGCAAGCGUUAUCCGGAGUUACGGGGGGUAAAGGGAGCGCAGGCGGGACGGCAAGCCUAGUGUGAAAGCCCGCGGCCCAACCGCGGGUCUGCGUUGGGAACUACCGGGCGGGAGUGCCGGAGAGGUAGGCGGAAUGCCUAGUGUAGCGGUGAAAUGCGUAGAUAUUAGGAGGAACACCAGUGGCGAAGGCGGCCUACUGGACGGUGACUGACGCUGAGGCUCGAAAGCGUGGGGAGCAAACAGGAUUAGAUACCCCAGUAGUC